UUAUGCAAUAUCACCGAGAUAACGUAAAACUAUUUCCUCGUUUUCUCUCAUAUCUCUUAACUUCUUGAACUUUCUCUAGCACUAAUUGUGUGUUAGUAAACAAAAUUUAUUAUAAAAACUUAGAAUUAAAUCUCAUGAUCUAUCGUGCUUAAUACAGGAUUAAUUCACGAUAUGGCAUUAACAGGCUAAAUAAAUGGAUUAGUAUUCUUUUGCAGAUGUAAAAUAUCACAUUAUUGUUGAAUAAGAAUUAACACAAAAUCAUCAACGUCUUACGCAGUUUUUGCUCAUUAGCUGAGAGUAUCGGUCAAUAUUUGAAUUUGUCAUAUUUCCUAGAACUACACAAUAAGAACAAUUUUCCACCACACUUUUGUCUUGUCACUUUAAUUUACUCAUAUAUUUACACUACUGCGUUAAUUUCUUGGCUACGCUAAAAAAUUUUAAUUGUUGAAGUAAAACUAAGAGUUGCCACUGGUCGCUGUAAUCUUAUCUCUACAACCGUUCUAUAAAAAAAGCAAUAAAAUUUCUUGUAGUCAUUGACUACAUACUUUUACAUUUAUAAAUUUAGAAAUAUAAUUUAUACUUUGCUUUUGGUUAAAACGGAGUACUGAAAUAAAGUCGUUUUAAUUUUUUCUUUAUUUUUUAAUAAAAUAUUGGAGAUGAAAUGAGUAAUCAUUAAAAAUAGACAAAGCUGUAUAGAUAACCUACUCUCUAUACCCUGUAUGCAGAAUAUAUUUAAAUAACUCUAAAAUACACCUAUAUUGUUGGGCUAUACACCUGAAUACACAGUAAUGAAUACACCAAAGAUAUGGUAAGAGGAGAAUAGAUAACAUAAAACACAUUCAAACAAAUAGAAAAAUUUCACUCCAAUAACGAGAAAGUAGUAGGGGAAAAACAGACACUUCUUGAAACAGUACAAGAUUGAUUAGCUAAAGUUUACACGAGGUAUCGUUAGAACUUUAGUACGAAAACAAGAAGUAACAACGGAAGUUUUUAUUGUAAAACUCUUAUUUAGACACAACGUGAAAAGAGAAGAUAUAAAACUUGGACGGAGAGUAAGAAUGAAACGUAACAAUACAUUAGUGACGAUCGAAACUACCGCAAGAAAUUCUACAUGAAACCUGUUAAAAAAACAAAUUAAAGAUUAUUAAUUUCAAGCUAAAAUGGGAGAAUCCAGUCAUAGAACCGACACACCCAAAAGUUAUAGCUACUCAAUCAGAACCCAGAUAAAUGUAAUCAAGCGUUAUCAGAAACGAUAAAUGUGAAAUUUUAUUUCUUCACGAUGAUAAGGACACCAUGAUACCUUAAAACAACUCCCAGAAGCUUUAAAGUGCUUAUCCAUGCGAUCUAACUAUGCUAAUGUAUAUUUGGUUUGAGGACGUUCUUUGUAAAUGAAUGUUGAUUGGUUGAAAAUUAUUAAAUGUUGUAGCGUAAAGAUGUUUGUCUGCUAAUAUUAAUUAGCAACAAUAGGUACACUUUACCAAGAAGACAACUUGGUGCAAAAUCGUGUAUAAAAGCUGCAGUUAGAUUCAGCCAAGGUCAUUGAAUAAGAAAUUGUUUUGCCGUACAUAACGGCAUUUAGUGUAAUUUACAGAUUAAUUUUUCAGAUUUAGUGUAAUUCCAGUCUUCUUCUUACAACUUGGAGAUUGAUUAGGCAGUGUAUUUUCAGACAUUUUCUUCCAGUUUAUGCACAGUAUUAUUUUCACAGUUCGUUGUAGAGGCUAUAUAGUUAGUUUAAUUUUUAAUUUCUGUUGAAGUUAGAAAUAUAACUAAUAUAAUUCCCGACAUCUUUUUGUAAUAUCAGUUUAGGCAGUGCCAUUCCAAUAUUUGUCGUGGAACUCAAAGGUUGGCCUUGUUGUGGCGUUUUAAUAAGCAGCUUUUCUAGUGUUAAAGGCAUAUUUUAUUUAUUAACAGUUAUUAAAAUUGCACCCGCUAGAUUUCUGCAAUCUUAGGCUUGCAAAUCGUGCAAUUUGGUGUACAAGAUUUCUCCUAAACCGGUCUAAAGUCGAAUGAUCAAAUUUCGAGGUUUACAAAAAUGAAGUUUUCAGACAGUAUAACGUUCCGCAAUUUUUUUCUGUCAAUGGAUUCUCAUUCAAAAGUGUUUCUCAAGAUUUUUUUAAUUUCAAAUGUUGCAACAAAAUAACGUAUAAUUUAUAAAAUAUCUUGUGUUUCUAGAAGCAUUUUGUAAAAAUAAAUCUUAGCCAAUCCCAUUGUAUUCUGAUAGAAUUAAAUUUAACAUUUUAUAAUGUCUCUGAUGAUUGCGUCAGCGGAAACAUGUAAGACUUAAUAAAAGAAAACAACCAGUAAAAGUA